GAGUGCCCUUUGGAUGGAAAUCCAAGACAAUUUCCGUAUAGCUAUUACUCUAGAAAAUUGAGCAAUGGAGAUAUGUGUGAUAGAAAAAGGUUAGUUUAUUCGAAACACGCCAAAAAAGUGUUUUUUCUGUUUAAGCUUUUCAAUUCUGACAAACGCAAGAGUUCAUUGGGGCAUGAUGAAUUUAGUGAUUGGAGACAUAUUAAUGAGAGACUGAAAGAACAUGAAGCUAGUGUCGAGCAUAUUACCAACAUGAACUCUUUGAAUGAACUGAGAAUUAGACUGAGCAAGCAUGAAACAAUUGACAAACAGCUACAACAAGAAAGGAGAAUGAAUUCAUAA
rnacentral:rRNA from 1 species